rnacentral:lncRNA from 1 species
CAACUUUCAUAAAUUUUGUUUAUACACAAGACAAGCUAGGAAUAUAAUUUUAUUGCUAAACUACAAAACAUAUUAACUAAUACAAUAUACAAUUAUAUACAAUACUUUUUUGGCGUACGGCUGUCUCAGCAAUUUAGCGUGCAUGGUCACUUUAUCCGAAUUUUUUGAAAAACAAAUAGAAAUAGUGUAGUUGUAGGCAAACUGCGGUUUGCUUGCAAACAUAACUUUAAAGUAGUCAGAUCGGCUGGUUAGUGCCCAGUGUCUAAUCUAGUUUAAAGCUACUACAGAAACACUAUAUUAUGCACUAUCCGCUCUCCUGGUUCCAAAGCAUGUGAUUGAUAAGCAUCUGAACUGUGAUUCAGAUAAGUAGCCAAAGAUAUAGUAGAAAGCCAGAGAGAGCCGAUCUGCGAAACAAUUAGCAUAAGCCUUUGUCUGAGCUUUCUAGCCAGAAAAUAUUGGCAAGACUUAUGCUAAAGUUAGGAUGUAAGUGACCACUGAAUACCCCGUAAAUUUGUGAUUUGAGUGAAAACUCGAAAUGACCCCAAAAACAGAUGUUGAAUAUUUUGAUUAGGCCGAUGAGACAGAUGGACCCCAAAUUGAAGGGAGUAUGAAAAAUAAGAUUAUGGUAACUAUGAAAUGAAGUUGCCAGCACUUCCGAUUAAAGUGUUUUUGGAACCAAAAACAGCAAGAAUAGCAUAUAAGAAGUUCUUUGACUGUUAAAGAAAUUGUUCUCGAUGUUGUCAGUAAUUUCAUAUUCAUAAUAUUCAGUUUUCAAGUAAGAAUAU